GUGUACGUACAAGCAGUGGGAGCACCCUUCGGGGUGUGACUGCGUACCUUUUGUAUAAUGGGUCAGCGACUUAUAUCCUGUAGCAAGGUUAACCGUUUAGGGGAGCCGGAGGGAAACCGAGUCUUACCCGGGCGUUAAGUUGCGGGGUAUAGACCCGAAACCGGGGGAUCUAGCCAUGGGCAGGUUGAAGGUUGGGUAACACUAACUGGAGGACCGAACCGACUAAUGUUGAAAAA
rnacentral:rRNA from 1 species